CCCUUUGAUGUUCUGGGCCGCACGCGCGCUACACUGACGAAUGCAACGAGCUUAUAACCUUGGCCGAAAGGUCUGGGUAAUCUCCAAAUUUCGUCGUGAUGGGGAUAGAUUAUUGCAAUUAUUAAUCUUCAACGAGGAAUGCCUAGUAAGCGCAAGUCAUCAGCUUGCGUUGAUUACGUCCCUGCCCUUUGUACACACCGCCCGUCGCUCCUACCGAUUGAAUGGUCCGGUGAAGCGUUCGGACCGUGGCCUUUGGACGGUUCGCCGUCUGUUGGCUGCGGGAAGUUCGUUAAACCUUAUCAUUUAGAGGAAGGAGAAGUCGUANCA
rnacentral:rRNA from 1 species